UGAGACCCAUACCCCCUCUCCUCACUUCUGUCUUCUCUCUCUUCUCAUUUUCCUUUUUUCUUUAGGUUUUUUCCUUCCCAUUGGCAGCUCUCUCUUCAGGGUUCCCUCUCACUCACAAUGGACUGAAGAAAAAAAAAACACUCGAAACCCGGAUUAUUUUUUUUUUUAGCUUCUUUCCUUCCCUCAUUUUCCCUUCCUUUCUCUCCAUCCAAACACCCUUCUUUUGAUUCCUUCUUAUUUUCUACUCUCUCUCACCAUAGCCAUUCUCUCUCCAUCUGCCACCCUCACCGCCAUUGUCGAUCACCACCAACCAUCGUCCGCCAUUGCCUUCUAGCAAUUUGACCAUCUAUAGUUCUUAAAAAAAGGACCCAUUCUGCAAUCUUGUUGGUUGAGUACGAAUUUAUGACACGUGGAGUACAAAAUUUUAUAGAAGAAAGUGAAACUCGAAAAACUGUAGGAAGACAUUGAACUUUAUGAAUUUAUGACACGUGGAGCACGAAAUUUCAUGGAAGAAAAUGAGACUCGAAAAGUUAUAGAAAGACAUUGAAUUUAUUGUAAGUUUAUUUGGGUAUACGUUUUAUUUCCCAAUACUAUUUGAUUUUAUUUUUAUUAGUUUCUGUAAAUAUUUGUUUGUAUAUAUUUAUUGAGUGUGUACAGAAUUGAAUAUCAAACAAAUAAGAAAUUUUUGUUUAAAUAA